rnacentral:lncRNA from 1 species
UUCCUUAUUGCGUUACCAAAUAUCAACAGGGGUAGGCCUACCGAGCUAGCAGGUGGGGCCGGCCGGGCCCACUUGCUGGUGGGUCGCAGAUUGCUUCUUCAUACCUUCCUAAAACUCGAUUUUAUUUCCUAUUUUCCACAAGUUUUGUUAUGAAACGGCUCAGAGAUGCAGGAAGAUCAAAUAAGUGGAAAGGAAUAAGUUGAACUACAUCUAACUCAGCC